rnacentral:rRNA from 1 species
AAAACAUGGCUCCCUGGAUUUAAGGAAUAGGGAGUCGGACCUGCCCAGUGAAUUUUUUAACGGCCGCGGUACUCUGACCGUGCAAAGGUAGCAUAAUCAUUUGCCUUAUAAUUGAAGGCUAGUAUGAAUGGUUUGACAAGAAUGGAGCUGUCUCUUUAUAAUUUUAUAGAAUUUUAUUUUUAGGUGAAGAAGCCUAAAUAAGAUUAAAAGACAAGAAGACCCUAUCGAGCUUGAAAGAAGUUAAUAGAAUUAAAUUAAUUAAUAUUUAUAAAAAAUUAUCUGUUAAAUAUUUUAGUUGGGGCGACUGAGGAACAAAAAAAGCUUCCUUAAAUAAUUAAAAUUCAAGCUAGAAUUGAUCCAAAAUAUUUUGAUUAAAGAAAUUAGUUACCGUAGGGAUAACAGCAUUAUCUUUUUUAAGAGCUCAUAUCGAAAAAAAGGUUUGUGACCUCGAUGUUGGACCAGAAUAUCCUAAAGGUGCAGCAGUCUUUAAGGGUUGGUCUGUUCGACCAUUAAAAUUCUACGUGA